rnacentral:lncRNA from 1 species
UCAGUUGUAGGAUGGUUUUAGGAAAGAAAUACAUGGAGAAGGAAUUUGAUGAGAAGGGGUUCAAACCAGUGAUUCAUGAGGCCAUGCGUUUAGCAGCAAGUUUUAACUUGGGAGAUUACAUCCCUCCAAUUGCACCACUUGACCUUCAGGGUCUUACAAAGUGCAUGAAGGCCGUAGGCAAGGUUUUUGAUGACUUCUUUGAGAAGAGUAUUGAUGAGCACAUUCAGUUCAAGGACGAAAACAGAACCAAAGAUUUUGUUGAUGUCAUGUUGGAUUUCUUGGGAUCUGAAGAAACUGAGUAUCGUAUUGGUCGAGACAACAUCAAAGCCAUAAUCUGGGUAAAUAGAAUUAAAAUAACUGUUAGUAAGCAGCACAUAAAUCACAUGAUUAUCCUUAAAUCUGUACCUUUCUCUUUCAGGACAUGCUUGUGGGCUCAAUGGACACCUCGGCCACAGCAAUUGAGUGGACUCUCUCCGAGCUCAUCAAGCAUCCAAGAGUAAUGAAGAAAGUCCACAAAGAACUGGAAGAGAAAAUAGGCACGGAUAGAAUGGUGGAAGAAUCAGACUUGGAGGGCUUGGAGUACUUGGACAUGGUCAUAAAGGAAGCUUUCAGGCUCCAUCCAGUGGCACCUCUACUUCUCCCUCACGAGUCAAUGGAAGAUUGCACCAUAGAUGGCUUCCUCAUCCCGCAAAAAACACGUGUUCUUGUAAACGUCUGGGCUAUUGGGCGCGACCAAAGUGCUUGGACUGAUGCACACAAGUUUAUUCCAGAGAGGUUUGCUGGGAGUAACAUAGAUGUUCGUGGACGUGAUUUCCAGCUUCUCCCCUUUGGGUCAGGGCGCAGGGGCUGCCCUGGAAUGCAUUUGGGACUAACCAUGGUUCGGCAAAUUGUGGCACAGCUGGUGCAUUGCUUUGAUUGGGAGCUUCCUAACAAUAUGUUGCCGGAGGAAUUGGACAUGACUGAGGUGUUUGGUCUUGUAACCCCGAGAGCAAACCAUCUGUGCGCCACUCCUACAUAUCGCCUUCUCCUCUGAUUAUGGCUUGAGCAAUGUUUCGAUUUCUAGUUAAUUAAUAUUCUCUGUUGGAAGUGGGAUCAUGUAGGGAUUGUCUUCGCUGCUUCUCUACUCUGAGAAUGGAAUGUCUAUAGAUCUUUUUAUAAACCACCAAGAACGUCACUACGUGUUCCUAUCAAGAAUUCAUGGUUUAUGACAUAAAUCAUGCAGGAGACGUGCCGCAUGCAGGGGAGGACAUACCACAUGCAGGGGAUGUGGAGAAAACACCUGUUGCUUGAGGAUUUGCUGGCAUCAUUCCAUUGGAAGGCUUGGUCCAUAGUUGCUAGCUAUUAUUUUCGUUAACUGUAGCUAUUUGAAUUCCUUGUUUUAAGUAGUUGAGGUUGUAAGUUUAGGAGAAGUUUUUUCUUUAUGUAUUUAAACCCUUUCAUUAUGCAGUAAUGAAUAUGAUUAUUCAGAUAGUGAGUCCAAUGGGACUCAGUCUUAAUGACGAGUUACAUCACAUGGAGGAAGAUAUCAAUAAGCUAUUUGUGGCCUUGAUCUCAACUAAAGACUCAUCGAGCAGUAACACCAAUGACUGUAGUGGUCAUUAUCGCCACAAUAGGGAGGAGUUUGAGUCUACAGAAGGAGGAAGACAGAUGCUCACAGAUGCUCUCAUCCAAGUUGACAAAGCUUGAAUUUCCAAGAUACUCUGGUGAUGAUCCAACUAAAUGGUUCAACAGAGUGAAAACAGUUUUUCAAAUACCAAGGCACCAUGGCAGCACAAAAAGUGUCAUCGGCGUCAUUCCACCUCGCAGGUGAAGCUAAUCAAUGGUGGCAAUGGCUACGUCGUGCCUACAUAGAGGAAGGGAGAUAAUUGACGUGGGAGGUUUUUGAGGAAGAGCUUUGGGCUCGUUUCGGACUAGUUGAUUGUGAAGAUUUUGAUGAAGCUUUAUCAAGGGUCACACAGAUUAGCUCAUUACAAGACUACCAAAAAGAGUUUGAAAGGUUGGGAAAAUCGGGUGAAAGAAUGGACACAGAAGGCCCUGGUGGGUACGUUUAUGGGAGGCCAUAAAUCAGAAAUUGCAGAAGGCAUCCGGAUGUUCAAACCACACUCCUUAAAGGAAGCUUUUAGCCUCACUAAUGAAAAUUCACACGGCCACCACAAUUCAUUCGUCUGCAACUUGACUUUCCAGCACAAACAAACCACACCAGCCUCACGAAUGAAAGGACUCACUUGGGAAGAAAUGCAAAGGAGGCGAGCUCAAGGCCCCAAGCUCUUAUUGUUAGAAGGGAGCUAUAGUUCAAAUGGUGAAGAUGAGACAAAUGAGGAGACCAUAUAGAGACACAUAUAUCACAUAUUGCUUUGGCUCUUAAUGACACAUCAGAUAUUGUUCCUGACUCAUUCAGAAACACAUCUAAAAAAAAAAACUGCUCACCCCCUGCUAUUAAGUCAUCUACUGAUCAACAUGAAGAUAUUACCUCUAAUCAUGCAUCCAUGGAUACAGAGACCAGUGAUACACAGGCUCAUCUACCAACCCUUUUGAACUCUCAGUGCAACCAAGAGGCCUCCUCAGAAGCGAUCAACGAAAACAACAGGAAUGCUAGAAGCAAAUCCAGGAAAAUAAAAUUGUUGCAAGCUAAUGGUAGUGUAGCUAACACUACUGAGAAAUGUGUCUCUUCUGAUUCCCUCAAUUCGGGAAUUAAGCAAGGCAAUGUCCGGUUCCAAACAACCUGUGAGAAUAAUCAAGCUGAUGGUUUUGAUAUAGAUAAGGAAACCCAGGAAAUGUUACAUGAUGCAGCGGCUCUAGGCUUGGGACCAUUCCAAGAUCUUAUAGGGUAUGAAGAGGGAGUUCGGGGGAACAUUGACAGAGAAGUAGACGAGUGGAAAUCAGUCAAUCAGUUGUAAGUUUCUUAACUUGCUAAGUUUUGUUCUGUCAUGGUUUUGAUCUACCUAUGAAUAUUUUUGCUUGGAAUAGUUGUGGGUUGGGUAUGUUGAACAAACGUCAUUCCAUCCGGAAUAGGUUGCUCAACAGUAAUGUUGAUAUCUGCUUUCUAUUAGAAACAAAAAAAGAUAAUUGUUGCGAUUCAUACAUCAGGAAUUUGUGGAAUGUGGUAACUGUUAAAUGGGCUUUGCUAGAGUCUGUAGGCAAAUCAGGAGGGAUAAUUGUGAUGUGGGAUAGUUCUAUCUUUGAGGUUAAUUCCAUAGAAUUUGGGGGGCAAUGGAUCAGCCUAUGCGGUAAACAUGUUCAUUCUUCCUUUAACUGCAUGGUAGUUGGUGUAUAUGCUGCAUCUUCUGUGCAAGAUCGUGCUAAGCUGUGGGAAGACAUCACUACUCUGAAGUUUGCCUUUGAAUUACCAAUGGUGGUGAUAGGUGAUUUCAAUGAAACUCUUCAAGCUAAUGAGAGAAGUAGCGGCUACAUUAAUCAUUCAGGGUCAGCUGCUCUCCGUAAUUUCCUGUCCGAUUGUGCUCUGAUUGAAUUCAAACUGCAGGGCAACCGUUUCACUUGGUUUAGGGGGGGUUCUAUGAGCUGUAUUGACAGGGCUUUCGCAUCUCCAGAGUUCCACCUCCAGUUUCCAUUCUUAUCACUCUACCGUUAUCCUAGGGGGAUGUCUGAUCACUGUCAAUUGCUUCUUCAGGCACCAAAGGUAGAUUGGGGAUGGAAGCCUUUCCGCUUCAUAAAUAGUUGGUUGUCACACCCUACAUUCUCAGCUGAUUUUGAGAUCUUCUGGUUUGAUAGUUGCAAGGAAUUUCCCGGUGACUAUAGAUUGGUAAAGAAACUAGGAACUUUGGGGAAAAGAUUGAGACAAUGGAACAAAUCCACCUUCGGUAAUCAAAAUUCAAAACUUGCAGACAUUCAGAACUCCAUCACAACCAUCGAAGACUUAAGCGAGGUACGCCUCUUGUCUGAGACUGAAAAAACAAAGCUCAAGAAUCUGAACUCUGAACUUUGGGAGGUUAGUAGGAAUGUCGAGGGCAUUUGGAGGCAGAAAUCCCGCCAAAACUGGUGCAAAAUGGGGGAUAAAAACACUCGGUUCUUCCAUCUUUCGGCAAGUUUGAGGAAUGGUCGGAACCACAUUAGCAAGAUUGAGCAGAAUGGCAGAUUUUUGGACUCUCCAAAUGACAUCAAAGAGGGUGCUGUCAACUUCUUCUCAACUCUGUUUGCCAAGCCACAAUGCAGAAGAAUUGAAAUGGGAGACUCAGGGUUCUCUAAAAUUUCAGAAGAAAGUUCAGUUUGGUUAGAAAGACUACCUUCAUUGGAGGAAGUGAAGCAAGCCGUAUGGGAUUGUGAUGGUUCAAAAGCCCCGGUCCUGACGGGUUCACCUUCUCCUUCUAUAAAAAGGAAUGGAAUCUUAUCAGCCCUGACAUCUUUGUGAUGGUCACAGAAUUUUUCAGAACAGGUAAAUUACCAAAGGGGAUCGGCUCGUCCUUCGUGACUUUGAUUCCAAAGACCAAGAGGCCGAGCACUUUCUCCCAAUUUCGACCAAUUAGUUUGAUUCAUGGGUUAUAUAAAAUAGUGGCAAAGCUCUUGUCCACUAGGCUCCGAAGCAUUCUACCAGAUGUGAUAAGUGUAAACCAGUCUGCUUUCAUUGGGCGUCAGAUUCUAGAUGGGUUCAUGAUAGCAAACGAGGUUGUCCAUAGUAUUCGUAGCAAAAAGGACCACGGGUUUUUGCUAAAGGUAGAUUUUCAUAAAGCCUUCGACUCGAUUUUAUGGGAGCAUAUCGAUUCUACCAUGGGUUAUAUGGGUUUUGGAUCUCACUGGAGGAAACUGAUCUUUGAAUGCAUGUCCACUUCUAAAUUGGCCAUCCUGAUUAAUGGCUCACCAAGCAGAGAAUUCAGUAUGGAGAGGGGUCUCAGGCAAGGGGACCCCCUCUCUCCUUUCCUUUUUGACAUAGCAGUUCAGGGGUUAACAGUUCUAUUCAACAGGGCAUCAGAUUCAGGUUACUUUAAAGGUUUACAGACUUCGCAAGGACAUCACAUAACCCAUUUGCAAUAUGCAGAUGACACUCUGAUUUUCCUGCCGAAUGAUUAUACCUCUCUAUUGCAUGUCAAGAGGAUCCUCCGCUGGUUUGAGAUCAUUUCAGGACUGAAAGUUAAUUUCUAUAAAAGCUCACUUAUAGGAAUUAAUUUGGAUAACGAAUACACUUCAGGUCUGGCUAACACAAUUUUCUGUCGCAGUGACUCCUUCCCAGUCAGAUACCUUGGGUUGCCUCUUGGUGCUAACCCAAAUAGGCUCUCCACUUGGAAACCGGUAUUGUCCACAAUCAGAGCAAAGUUAAGCAAAUGGAAAGGGAAGUUUUUGAGCAUGGCCGGAAGGAUAUGUCUUAUUAAAUCUGUCUUAAACUCUCUACCUCUAUACUAUAUGUCGGUCUUUAUUAUGCCAAAGGGCAUUGCAAAAGCAAUAUCCUCAAUCAACCGAUGUUUUCUCUGGAAGGGCUCCUCAAAUUCACAUGGUAUUUGUAAGGUUGCUUGGCAUAAGGUAAUUAAGAGUAAGCCACUGGGAGGUCUCGGGCUUGGUUCUAUUCACAGUAAAAAUCUGGCUCUGAUGUUUAAAUGGCUUUGGAACCUUGACAAAGGAGUGGUAGGAGGUUGGCAAAGCUCAUCUUACGAAAGUACCGGCCACAUUUUCAAAUGGCCUUCCUGUGUUUGCAGGUUCUUUAUCUCCAACUUGGCGUGGCAUGGUAUCUGCAAUUUCCUUAAAUCACAGCAUAGCCGCUCCCAUCCAAUCCAAUGUUGGGUUUAAGGUGGGUGAUGGGAGAAACAUCAGGUUUUGGUCUGAUUCUUGGCUAGGCUAUGCAGCCCCUCUCCAGUUCAUGUUCCCUAGGCUCUACAACCUCUCCCUGCAGCAAUCUUUAAGCGUUGCAGAAGUUCAUAACCCAACAGAUAACUCAAUCAAUCUUUCUUGGAGAAGACCACUUCGAUCCCGAGAACUCUGCAUGUGUGAAAGCUUGAUAGCAGAAGUGGAACGUGGCCUAGUCUUCUCUGAUGGUGAAGACAACAAGAUUUGGAAACACCAUAGCUCCAACAAUUACACAGUCUCCUCUGGGUGCCAUCUCUUUGACGGUUUAAAUGUUUCAGGACAUCUGCACUCCCCUGCUUUGCUUUGGAAAGGGUUUGCGCCUCUAAAAAUAGAUGUGUUCAUAUGGCUUCUUUUCAAUGGCAGUGUCUGCACAAAGGGUUUCUUAGCUGAGAGGAGAAUCAUCAAUUACGAGGAAGCUCUUUGUCCUUUCUACUGCAAGGAGAUUGAGACUACACAUCAUCUUUUCCAUCUUUGUCCAAAAUCAUGGUCUCUUUGGGGCAGACUGUUUAGUUGGUUUAGGUGUGUAGGUUGUCUGCCAAAAGAACCAUAUCAUAACCUUCAGGAAUGGUCCAACAUGGUAAAAGGAAAAUUCCAGCGUCAGGCAAUUACCCUUCUCUGUAAAGGAUUAUACUGGUCAAUUUGGAUAGCGCGCAACCAUAUGAUCUUUGACAACAAAACUCCAGACUGAGAUGUGAUUUUUGACCUCACCUUUCAUCGGUUGGCCUUUUGGUUGAAGUCCUUUGUUAAAAAUUUCAGCUAUACGGGCUCUGAUCUUUAUAGGAAUCCUGAAUGUAUUAUGAACUGGACUAACUAGUCAGGUCUUUAGAUUCCUUGUUUUCUUAAUGUAUUUUUAAUUUCCCAUGUAAUCUUCCUUAUCAGCCCUCAUCUCCUUAAUGGGGGCAUAUUAUUUAUAAUAUUCUCGAUUACUAUAAAAAAAAAAUAUCACUUCAUGCUUUAACAGGAUGGACAAUGUCCAGAACAAUACGAGUACCGGCUAGGAUCGGACCCUAUGAGGUGGCUGUCCUCUUUGAUAGUGGUUAUACCAAUAAUUUUAUUAGCGAGAAGGUUUCUAAUUUGUUACAAUUACCCUAUGAGGUGGCCAUUCAACGUGAAAGUUGCCAAUGGGAAUCCAUUAAAAUGCCAAGGGAGGUUUCAGCUUGGGUCGGUCUUGCUUCAAGGUAUCCCAUUUUCUCCUACUCUCUAUUCCUUGCCAUUUAUCGAGUUAGACUUGGUGCUAAUGGCUAGAGCAAUCGGGAAUAGUGGUUUGCAACUGGAAAGAUUUGACAAUGCAGUUCCAGUGGAAAAAAAAUGGAGCUUAUAAGAUCCAUCACUAGUCCCUUUUUCCUCUCCUGUUUUAUUGGUUUUAAAAAGAUGGCACAUGGCAUUUUUAUACUAAUUAUAGAGCACUUAAUCCUACAACCAUCAAAUAUCGAUUUUCAAUAGCAACGACUGAUGAUAUACUAGAUGAAUUUCAUGGAGCUUCAUACUUUACUAAACUCGACCUUUGAGAUGGCUACCAUCAAGUACGGGUAUACUCUAUAGACAUUAAAAAACUGUUUUCGUACUCAUAAUGGUCAUUAUGAAUAUUUAUUUAUGCCUUUUGGUUUUUGUAAUGCACCAUUCACUUUUGAAGCCAUUAUGAACUCCAUAUUUCAACCUUAUCUUCGCAAAUUUGUGUUAGUAUUUUUUUAUGACAUAUAGCCCCGAUUGGAUCAUACAUCUUGAACAUGUUAAACAAGCUUUUGAAAUUUUAAGGCAACACCAAUUUUUCAUUAAACUCAACAAAUUCGCAUUUGGCAAGGAAGAAUUGGAGUACUUGGGUCAUAUUGUUACUUCUCAUGGAGUCAAAGUUGAUCAAGGAAAAAUUCAAACAAUGCUAAAUUGGCCUAGGCCUACUAAUAUUUCUGAAUUGCAUGGUUUCUUAGGCCUUACAGGUUACUACCGCAAGUUUGUUUUUGACUCCAACAUCCUGAACCAACCACUUACAAACCUAUUAAAAAGGGGCAAUUCAGUUGGUCAAAAGAGGUUGAAUCCGCCUUCCAAGCUCUUAAACAAGCCAUGACUUCAACUCCUACACUUAUUAUGCCUAACUCUAAUAAGUCUUUUUUUUAUUGAAUCCGAUGCUUCAAGAGAUGGAAUUGGUGUUGUUCAACUCAACAAGGCAAGUUAAUUGCCUUUAUGAGCCGAGCUUUGGGGAUAUCCAAACGGUCGUGGUCUACAUAUACAUGAGAGAUGUUGGCCAUUUUUCAAGCCAUCAGAACUUGGCGACCACAACUAUUAGGCCGAAAGUUUUAUAUCCAAACAAAUCAGCACAACCUCAAAUAUUUAUUGGAGCAAUGCAUUGGAAUGCCAGAACAACAAAAAUAGGUGGCAAAGCUGUUGGGGAUACCACUAUGAAAUCACUUACGAACCAGGACGGGAGAAUUUAGUGGUUGAUUUAAAAAAGACAAAAAAACCUACCCGGGUCAACCUGAGUUAAUUUACCAAACUCGCAAAUCAGCUUAUGAGAUUAGGAUAACCUUAUAAAAGUAAAUUAAAAAAAAUAUAAAGCCCUACUUGUAACAGAUUUAAUGUUGAAGAUUGAAAUCGAGAAAAAAAAACUAAAUACAUGAGAUAAGGAUAAUGCAACAGAAAGAAAUAGAAAAAAAAUUAUGAAUCCCAAUUCCGAAACAACCUAAUAUUAGAAAGAAAAAACUAAAUAAAAAAAAAACAAAUUGAGUUGUUGGAGGGUGAAAUUGAAAAAAACAAUCAAUUAAAAAAGGACCCAAAAAAAUGAAACGUGUUAACCCAUGUCAAUCUACCAAACUCGCGAUUCGAGUUAUGAGACCGCGAUAACUCCAUAGAAAGCAAAUAAAAACAAUUAUGAAGUCUAAUUUCUAAUUAACGCAAUGCGAGUACCAAACUAAUUAACGUAAUGUUAAAGGACCUAAUAAAGGUGUACGUCAAUUUUUCAACAUGUAAUGAGUGACAGAAUAUAUCUAGGAUGGUCAGAUAUCGUACGAAAUUGAGUCAGAAUCAGAGCCUAAGUUGGAACAAAAAAUUGCAACAGCAGCAGAACCAUUUUUUUAGUGCAAAUUCUAAGGGAUUUAUUCAACCUUAAAUACCAGAUAAAAAAGAAACAAAUUUAGCGUUAUGAAGACUCUUGAUCAACCUAAGAAAACCUGAUGAUUUUGGUAGUAAAGGGGAAGGAUAAAAAGAGUAGAAAACAACUUAAACAAGGUUUCGAAAAAAAAACAAAAUAUUUCUUUAUGUUCUUUUGUCAAUCUUCUGGCGAAUAUGAGCUAAACUUCUACACUCUGUUCAAAAAAGGUAUACACCGUCUCCAGCACGUGGGGUCCAAAAUUGAGUAACAACAAAAGGUAUGAAGGUAAUUUUUGAAGAUCAAUCUUGAUAUAUCUUUGAUGCCACUGGACAAAAAAAAUUGCAAGCUAGGAUGAGAGGCAAAAGUUUCUCAUUUCUACCAUUCAAGGAGGAGCACACAACUUUUUCCACAAAGCUAAAUGACAUAGAAGUAUGGCAUAAGAGGCUGGGACACUGUCAUCAACAACGAAUGCUUAAUAUAAUAAAGCAUGAUGCUAUAAAAGGUGUGCCUUCAUUCACUAAUCACUUACCGAAUUGUAAUGCUUGUUAGUUUGGUAAGCAAAACAGGAAACCAUUUCCAAAAUCAACUUGGAGGUUUACACAGAAACUUCAAUUAAUCCAUAUUGAUGUUGCCGGUCCCCUAAGCACUUCUUCACUAAAAGGUAAUUGAUAUUACAUUCUCUUUAUUGAUGAUUUCAUUAGAAUGUGUUGGAUUUUCUUUAUGAAUCCAAGUCAAAAGUAGGUGAGACUUUUUGGAGAUUCAAGAAGAUUAUGGAGAAUCAAAGUAGAAAAAUAAUUCAAGCCAUUCGUUGAAACAAUGGUAAAGAAUACACUUCAUUAGAAUUUAAUCUCUACUGUGAAGAUGUUGGCAUUGAACAUCAACUCACUACUCCUUACACUCUAGAACAGAAUGGAGUUAGUGAGAGGAGAAACUGAUAUAUAAUAGAGAUGGUUAGAUGCAUGCUAUAUGAAAUGAAUUGCCAAAGAUGUUUUGGUCAGAAGUAGCUAACACAACUGUUUUUCUUCAAAACCAACUUCCAACAAAAUUGUUGGAAGAAAAGACACCUUUUGAAGUUUUAUAUAAUUACAAACCUUCACAAAGCUUUCUUAAAAUCUUUGGCAGUAUAUGUUUUGUUCAUGUUCCACAUAUCAAGACAGACAAGCUUGAUAAGAAGGCCAUGCCGGGUAUCUUUGGUGGCUAUAAUAUUGUUUCUAAAGCCUACAAAGUAGAUCAUCCUCGGACUCAGAAGAUGGCCAUUGAUUAAUACUUAAAAGUGCAUUUUUAUCAAGGUUUUAUAUCAUAAUUUUGCACUUGAAGUUAUCAAUAACUCCUUAACUAAAGCAUAUUUUAUAAUAACAUACCUAAUAAUAUAAGAUACCUUUAAUUUAUGGUAAAUGUUCAUCUUAAAUGCAGGCCUAUCACAUAAAUGAAAGGAUUGAUUGAUGAGUUUAACUAUUGAAAUUGAAAAACAGAGGGCCAAACUUAGAAAAGAGAUAUUGGUGCAGUCCAAACUGGAACACUGUUCGGUAAUUGGGUCAUAUCUCGAGUUCUAGAUGUCCAAAUGACCUCACAUUUUUUUACACAUUGGGUAAGACAUAGGCCUACAACUUUCAUGUGGAGUCCAAGAUUUAAAAAGACCGUUUUCAAGUCCAAAUUAUAGCAACAAUAGAGAAGUCUGAAUCUGUCUUGCAGCACAAACACUGUUCAGUGUUCAGCCCAUAUCUCGAGUUCUAGAAGUCCAAAUGACCUAAAUUUUUUUCCCUAGAAAGAUAAGACAAUUUCCUAUAACUUUCAUACAUACAGGUGGUUCCAGUUCUGAUGCUAGCAAUGACGUUUUAUUCAGACAAGAAGAUAAGGAUUUUCACCAAGCCAAGAGUUGGCCACCCACUCAACAAUUAGUCAUCAAAUCAAUAGUUCCAUUUUUUUACCUAUAAAAAGAGGCAUUUGCCAUGCAUUUAGGGGCUUGGUUUUUCAGAUCAAGAACUUGUUCUUGCUCUCUCUCUUUAUAUAUAUAUAUUUAUAAUUCUUAAGUUUUGCUUUCAUUAAUAUCUUGUUUAUGCUUUUCAUUUCCUUUCCUUUACCUAAUUAACUUGUAUCUUAUUUAUGUUCUUGUUUUCUUUAUUUAUGUUUCUCUUCUUCAUUAUGUUUAGCUAAGUUUAUUAUGUAAAGGUGAAAAGGUUACACUAAUGGUGUAAGAAUAAGUAUAGUGUAAACUCAACAUGGAUUAAAUGGUUAAUCUAGAUUUGUGUUGUAUAACACUUGAUACAACAAAUGCUUGGCACUCUCAUAGCCCAAUCGUAUGGUAUUACCUAUACCUGUGCUAUGAAAGGAACUUGAUUUGUUGUUAACAUAAGUUAGCAUCAUGAAUUCCUGAUAAUAUUUAAAAGUUUGGUGUUACUUAAAUAAGAUAAUUAAUAUGAUCAUGUUAAUAAUUUAUAAUGAGGUUUUAAUGAUAAAUCAUCGGAUUGGAACCUCCUUUGUGUGUGGUUUCCAGUUGAAUAAUAAGAGUUUAUACUAUACUUGUUUGAAAUACCAUUACUGGAUCCUCUAACCUUAACAAUAUUACUAUUAUUGUUAUUACUGUUAUUGUUGUAUUAUUGUUAUUUAUAAUUUAUACAAUUAAUCUCCAUGUGGUUCGACCCCGGUCUUGCCGGGUUAUUUAUUACUUCAACACUCCUACACUUAGGAGAAUACAUCAAUCUUUUGGUCGUGUCAAGUUUUUGGCGUCGUUGCCGAAGAGGUAAAUUCUUGUACAAAUUAUAGUAUUUAUUUUAUUUUAUCUUUUCACUUUUCUUGUAUCUAACUUUGUUUUUUUUGUUUUGUUUCUUUUUGUUUUGUUUUCUUUUUCCUUUUAUUCUCUUUCUACACGUGCAUGAGUGUUUGGUCACGAUUAAGUGGUAGACUUUGUAGGGUAUCCUCAUCAUUUUCAGAAAAUAUGGUGGAAGAAGAAAACCAGUCACUUCAUAAUGAGAAUAAUGAGAAUAACCGUGUUAGAACACUUAGAGACCACAUGAAUCCCACAAGAACAAGUGCACCCUCAUGCAUAGUUUUCCCUCCUGAUGCAUCUCAUUUUAAUUUUAAGCCAGGCAUUAUUCAACUUUUACCUUCUUUUCAUGGCUUAGAUCUAGAAAAUCCAUACUUGCAUUUGAGAGAAUUUGAAGAAGUUUGUAACACCUAUAAUGACUUAAAUUGUAGCACCAUUAGAUUAAAGCUUUUUCCUUUUUCAUUAAAAGAUAAAGCUAAAACAUGGCUACAAAAUCUUAGGUCAGGAUCCAUUUGUGCUUGGGAUGAAAUGCAACAACAAUUUUUGAAAUAUUUUUUUCCAUCUCAUAGAAUAGACUCUUUCAAAAGAGAAAUCACCACUUUCACUCAAAACCAGGAGAAACAUUUUACCAAUGUUGGGAUAGGUAUCGAGACUUGCUUAAUACUUGCCCUCAUCAUGGUUUUGAAACAUGGAGAUUGGUUUCACAAUUUUAUGAAGGUUUAACACCUAAAGAUAGGCAAAUGGUUGAAUUGAUGUGCAAUGGAACUUUUAAAGAUAAAGACCCUAAUGAAGCAAUGGAGUACCUAGACUUACUAGCUGAAAAUGCUUAAAAUUAGGACACUACAAGCACUUAUAAGGCACCAAGUAAAACCAACCUCAUACAUCUAGUGGAGGUAUGUACAACCUUAGGGAAGAUCAUGACCUCCAAGCCAAGUUUGCAUCUUUAGCUAGAAAAGUCGAGGCACUAGAAUUGAAAAAGAGUGGUCAAUUAAAAUCUGUUCAAGACAUUGUGUGUCAAAUCUGUGAAACAAAUGAACAUGCAACCAAUGAUUGUCCAACUUUGCCUUCUUUCAAGGAAUGCCUCCAUGAACAAGCCCAUGCUUUAAACAGUUUCCAAAGGCCCAACAUAACCCAUACUCGCAAACAUACAAUCCUGGUUGGAGAAAUCACCCAAAUUUCAGUUGGAAGAGUGAUAACAAUAAUGCACAAACUUCACAGCCACCGUUUCAAGCACACCAUAAUUUCCAAAAUUCUCAUGGAUAUGCACCUCCUUAUGCUCCACCUCCUAGAAGAAAUCUUGAGGAAACAUUGCAUGCAUUCAUUGAAAAGCAAGAGACAAUCAACACUCAACUUGCUCAAGGCAUGACAGAUUUUAAAGAUGCUCUUGCAAAGUUAACAUCUGCUCUUAGUUUCCAAGAGAAAGGUAAGUUUCCAUCUCAACCAUAGCAAAAUCCAAAGGGGCAAUACAAUGCAAAUGCAAGUAGUUUGGAAGCCAACACAUGGAUCAAGUCAAAUCAGUCAUCACUCUUCGCAGUGGUAAGGUUAUUGAAAAACCCACUCUUGAACCUUGUGAGAAAGAUGAUGAGUCAAUCUCUGAGGGUAAGGAAGGGGUUGAACCUGAACAUUGCAAAGAAAAGCUGAUUCCGCCAGCACUUCCAUUUCCUCAUGCCAUGACCAAACAAAGGAAAGUCAAUCACAAUUCUGAAAUCUUUGAAAUUUUCAAACAGGUAAGGAUCAAUAUACCUUUGUUGGAUGCUAUUAAACAGGUACCUUCCUAUGCUAAAUUUUUGAAAGAUCUGUGCACUGUGAAGAGAAAACUGAAUGUGAAAAAGAAAGCUUUUUAGCCGAACAAGUAAGUGCCAUUCUUCAGAACAAUAAUGCUUUGAAAUAUAAAGACCCUGGUUGUCCUACAAUUUCUUGCUUUAUUGGAGAACAUAAAAUUGAAAGAGCUUACUUGAUCUUGGAGCUAGUGUGAAUUUACUUCCAUAUUCAGUUUUUCAAAGUCUCAAUCUAGGUGAGUUAAAACCAACUCUGUAACUCUUUUACUUGCUGAUAGAUCUGUAAAAGUGCCUAGAGGAAUAGUUGAGGAUGUGUUAGUACAAGUUGAUAAAUUCAUUUACCCUGUAGAUUUUGUUGUCUUGGAUACACAACCUGUUGAAGCAUGUAAUUCAAUUCCUGUUAUUUUAGGACGUCCAUUUCUUGCAACUUCUAAUGCAUUGAUUAAUUGUAGGAAUGGACUGAUGAAGCUAUCAUUUGGAAACAUGACAUUGGAGAUGAAUAUUUUCAACAUUUACAAGCAACCUGGAGAUGAUAAUGAUUUACAGGAAGUGGACUUUAUUGAAAAAUUAGUUCAUGAUCAAUUUCAAACCACUUCUAGUGAAACUGAGAUUGAUGAAUCUGAUGAUUUGCAAAUGGUCUUUUCAGGAAGAAUCAAAGGCAUGUAAUUGGAGACCACAAAUUGAAGAAUUGCCACCACGAUCAAUUGAGUCCAUACCUUCAAGUGUUCAACCACCAAAACCUGAUUGAAGCCGUUACCAUUUAAUCUCAAAUACUCAUUUUUGGGAGAAAAUGAAACUUUUCCGGUAAUAAUCUCUUCCAAACUUAAUGCACAUCAAGAAGGUAAGUUAUUACAGACUCUGAAAAUGCACAAAAAUGCAUUAGGAUGGACCAUAGCUGACAUAAAAGGAAUUAGCCCUUUGAUUUGCACACACAGGAUUUAUUUGGAGGAAAAUGCUAAACCUCUAGAGAAAUGCAACGAAGGCUUAAUCCUAAUAUGAAAGAAGUAGUGAAAAAUGAAGUCAUUAAGCUUCUAGAUAAUGAAAUCAUUUAUCCUAUUUCUGAUAGCAAAUGGGUAAAUCCUACAAAAGUCUGAAGUCACUGUGAUAACAAAUGAGAAAAAUGAGUUAAUUCCAACUAGGACUAUUACUGGUUGGCGCAUGUGCAUUGACUAUAGGAAACUUAAUUCAAUGACUAGAAAAGAUCAUUUCCCUUUACCUUUCAUGGAUCAAAUCCUAGAAAGAGUUGCAGGUCAUGAAUUUUAUUGUUUCCUAGAUGGCUAUUCAGGUUACAACCAAAUUGAAAUUGCAUUGGAAGAUCAAGAGAAGACUACUUUCACAUGUCCAUUUGGUACUUUUGCAUAUCGAAGGAUGCCUUUUGGAUUAUGUAAUGCACCAGCCACAUUUCAAAGAUGCAUGCUUAGCAUAUUCAGUGAUAUGGUUGAACGUUUCCUUGAGAUUUUUAUGGAUGAUUUUUCUGUUUUUGGUGAUUCAUUUGAUGAUUGUUUAACUAACUUGGAAAAGGUUUUAAACAGGUGUGAAGAGAAUAAUCUUGUACUGAAUUGGGAAAAAUAUCACUUCAUGGUAACAAACGACAUUGUACUUGGUCACAUUGUUUCAUCGAAAGGAAUUGAGGUUGACAAAUCUAAAAUUGAGUUAAUCGCCAACUUAACAACACCAAAAUCUGUUAAAGAUGUUAGAUCAUUCUUAGGACAUGCUGGUUUUUACAGAAGGUUCAUCAAAGAUUUUAGUGUAAUAUCUAAACCAUUGUGUAACCUUCUAACAAAGGAAAAUGUUUUUAAAUGGACUAAACAAUGUGAAAAAGCCUUUCUUAACUUAAAAGCUUCCUUACUUCUGCUCCUGUCAUUCAACCUCCUGAUUGGUCACUACCUUUUGAAAUAAUAUGUGACGCUAGUGAUUAUGCAGUGGGUGCUGUCUUUGGACAAAGAAAAGAUAAGAAACCUUAUGUGAUUUACUAUGCAAGUAAAACUUUAAAUAGUGCUCAAAUGAAUUACACUACCACUGAAAAAGAAUUACUUGCAGUAGUAUUUCCAUGUGACAAGUUCAGAUCUUAUCUUGUUGGCUCACCUGUUGUCGUUUUUAGUGAUCAUGUAGCAUUGAAAUAUCUUCUCUCUAAAAAAGAUUCUAAGGCUAGAUUGGUGCGGUGGAUUUUGUUACUUCAAGAAUUUGAUAUCACAGUCAAAAACAAGAAAGGCAUCGAAAAUGUUGUUGCAGAUCAUUUGUCAAGAUUGACAACCAAUUCGAGAUCUGACAUCAUACCAAUCGAUGACUACUUUCCUGAUGAAUAUUUAUUUUUUGUCUCUACAAUGCCUUGAUUUGCUAAUAUUGUUAAUUUUCUUGUUUCAGGACAAUUGCCAGGUCAUUGGAGUACCCAAGAUAAAAGAAAAUUAUUGAACGAAGUGAAGAUCUUUUAUUGGGAUGACCCUUAUUUAUUCAAAUAUUGUCCUGAUCAAAUAUUUCGAAUAUGCAUUCCUGACAAUGAGGUAAGUAGCGUAAUUAAAUUUUGUCAUUCUAAGGCAUGUGGGGGUCAUUUCUCAUCAAGAAAGACAAAUGCAAAAAUCUUACAAAGUGGAUUUUAGUAGCCUACCAUGUUCAAGGACUCAUAUGCAUUCUGCAAGACUUGUGAAAAUUAUCAAAAGUUGGGAUCUAUUUCAAGACGUCAUAUGAUGCCUUUAAAUUCUAUUCUUGUCAUUGAGAUCUUUGACUGUUGGGGUAUAGAUUUCAUGGAUCCAUUUCCUCUAUUAUUUGAUUUCUUAUACAUAUUGGUUUCUUUUUAUUACUCAACUCGAAACCACACACAAAUGAGGUUCUAAUCAGAUGAUUUAUCCUUAACAGUUCAUUAUAAAUUUUUAACAUGAUCAUAUAUUAAUUAUCUUAUUUUAGUAACAUCAUACUUUUAAAUAUUGUCAAGAAUUCAUGAUGCUAACUUAUGUUAACAACAAAUCAAGUUCCUCUCAUAACAAUGAUAUCGGCCGAAGACUAUGAAGAAUCAAGCAUUUAUUGUUCCAAGUGUUAUACAACACAAACCUAGAUUUAUCAUUUAACAAGCAAGGUAUUAAUAAUUAGUAAGAUAAAAAGAUAAGACAUAUUAAUAACAAACUUUCUUGGAUAUAAAUAUUGAAAUCCAUGUGGAGUUUAUAUUAUACAUAUUCUAACACUAUUAGUGAAACCUUUUCACCUUGACAUAAUUAACUUAGCUAGACAUAAUGAAGAAGAAUAACACAAAUAAACAAGAUAAGAAUAUAAUUAUGAUAUAAGUUAACUAAGCGUAGUAAAGGAAAUGAAAAGCAUAAACAAGAGGUUAAUAAAACAUGAAAUAGAAUUUGAACAUUAUAAAGAGAGAGCAAGAAAAUGAUCUUGAUCUAAAAACCAAGAUGCCUUAAUGAAUGGAAAAUACCUCCUUUUAUAGGCUAAAAUUCAGAAUUAUUCAUUUGAUAAAUGAUUAUUGAUGUAAUGGCCAACUAUUGAUUUAGUAGACUUGGUGGACAGCAACACUCAAGCAUUUUAGUUGGAUAAAAUGACAUUGAUUCAAUCAGAAUUUGGCAAAGUGUUCUUCAUGGAAGUUGUUGGAAAUUAUCUCCUCUCUCCACCCAUAAACUUUCAGAACAUUUGGAUCACUAUAGAUUGAGAUAUGGCUAAAAGAUUGAGUAGUGCUUCUUAUGAACGUGGUGGAUAGCCCUCAAGCUCUUGUCUCGAUGAAAUGUCAUUGCUAACAUCAGAACUUGAGGAGGUGGCCCGCAUGAAAGUUGUUGGAAAUUAUCUUAUCUUUCCACCCACCAAAUUUGACAUCAUUUUACCUUCUAGAACUCUAGCUAUGAGUAAAAUUCUGAGCAGUGUUUGGGCUGUAUUGCAGGAUAGAUUAUGACUUCUCUUUUGUGGCCAAGCUUUGAAUUUUAAAAUGGCAGAUUUGGGUCUUCCACUCUUUAUGAACAUUGUAGGCCUAUUUCUUAGCUUUCUAGCCAUAUAAACCAAAUUGAAAUCUAAAAUCUACAACUCCAGAUAUGACCCAAUGAUUGAACAAUGUUCCAAUUUGAAUUGAAUCAACAUCUCUUUUCUAAGCUUAGCCUUUUCUUUGCCCUUUCACUUUCAAUAGUUAAUCACAUCAAUCAAUCAUUUGAAUUGUGAGAUAUUCUUGCAUUUAAUUAGCAUUUACCAUAAAUUAAAGCUAUCUUAUAUUAUCAGACUUGUUAUUAUAAAACAUGCUUUAAUUAAGAAAUUAUUGAUACUUCAAGUGCAAAAUGAUGAUAUAAAACCUUCAUAAAAAUGCACUUUUAAGUACUAAUCAGACCUCACCUAAAAGUUUAAGCUAUUGGGUUGAGAUGGUUCUUUGACAAUUAGUUCUGAGAUAUUCUCUCAUUAUUCCUUGUUUCAAAAAUUUUGCAUUUUUCAUUUUUAGCACACUAUUAAAAACUUAGCUCAAAUUAAAUUUUAGAAAUGGCAAUAUCUAAGAGAGAAUAACAACACCAACACCAACACUUCUUCCUCCCUAAUUUCAUUUCCUAUAGAAGGGACUCAACAAAACGUUUAACAUGGUUCCACAUGUAGACCCAUAGUUAAAAUUAUUUUCAAAUAUUAAAAUUCUAACCCAAUGAUAGGAUGGAUUAAAUUAAAUUAAAUUAAAUACAUGGGACUAAAUAACAAGGGGUGAAAUUAAAAGAGAUAAAAGAGAAUAUGACACUAGUUGUUAGAAAAGAGAAAAGAUGGGGACAAAAUUAAAAAAGUAGGUGAAAUGGGGUCAAUAUGUAAAUAGUAAGAAAUUGUAUUUUAAAUACCCUUUUCCCUUUCUAAAACUGGCAACAAUAAAGAAAAAAUGGGGGGAGAAUAUUUUUAAGUUUCGUUUACAAAAAACAUUGAGAGGAUAUCCUAAAAUUGAAAGGGGUUUGAGUGAGUUUUUGGCUAAGGGUUGAGGGAAACAACAUCAAGACAAUAAUCUAGAGAGAAUAAGUGAAGAAAUUUAGGGAUUUAAAGUGACAAUAAUCUACAUUGUAAAUUCUAGGUUAGGGUUCACAAGAAAAUUUAUGGGAAGUGAGAGAUUUGCCUUGUUUGAUGUAAUUGGGAUAGAAAUACACGAAAGGAACUUAGAAUAAUAAUUAAAUGAAGAAAAAUCAUAGUCUUUUGGAAGGUAGUGGUGCCAGCCAAAUAUUAGAGAAAAAUUAAAAUAAUGCAUGAAUGUUUUUUGUUUGAAGUUAUUAUAGCACAUGUUGAAAUGUGGAGAAUGAAUUUACAAUAAAUAGAAAUCUUGUGUUUAAUUUGUAAUGAAAAUAUUGGUUAUGCUUUGAUUAUGAAUGUUGUCAUUUUGUUGAGAAUUGUAGGAUUUUGUGUAAUGUUGAAGUAUUAUGGAAAAUUAUACAAAUGAGAAGAAAACUAUUCAUAUUCCUUCUUUAAUAUUACAUUCGGCUAGAGAGAGAAAGAAAAGAGAAAUUGUUCAGAACAAAAAAUAGUCUAGCUGUUUUGAGAAAUAGCUAGAUCGAUUUAAGAAAACGAUUAGACUAUUUCUCAAAAUGGUUAGAUCGUUUUUGUUAUUGUCCAGUUUUGGAAAUUUUUUUUUAUCCUUUUCUAGUUUUAUUUGGUUCUUUUGAGUUUGUUAAGGAGAUGCUAAUUGUUUGAUUGAAUUUAGCAUAAAUGAAUGUUUAAUUAUGAUGGAUGAAGCACUUGAUGUGAGGUUGUGACAAUUAUACAAGGUAAAAAUUUAGAAUUUUCAAUGCGAUUAAAUUAAAUUGAGAAUUCAAAAUGUAUAUGGAGAAUAAAAUUGACCUUAAUGGUGGAUGAAUGAUAAAUGAUAUAUUGAUUUUGCUGGUACAAAAAAGGUCACAAGACAUAUUUAACAACAAGGGACUAUUUCGUGCACGUAAAUAUCAUGUAGGUGUUCGACACCUCAAGGAGAAUUAAUUUAUUAUCUAAGUAGUAGUCAUAAUUUUCUUUAAUUGCAUCUUGAUCUUAAUAGAAAAAUGUAACAAGAAAAAAAUUGGAGAACUAAUUCCCUCGUUAAUGAAAUUAAUAUCUUGGUUAAUGGGUGAUUUGAGAAACUAACUUCCUGGUUAAUGGUAUCAAUGAGCGAUUGGGAAAACUAAGUUUCUGGUAAAUGAAAUUAGUAUCAUGGUUAAUGGACAAUUAAAGAACCAAUGAUUUAGUAAUAAAAUGUAUGCCUGAUUUAGGUUACAGAUGACUUUGGUGUGUACUCAAAAUUGUACUAUUGACAUUUGAUAAUUAUGCUACAUAUAUAUAUAUAUAUAUAUAUUACCUUUGAAUGUAAAGUUGAUUGCAUUUUAUAUUAAAUAAUUUUUUAGGUAUCUCGCAUCACUGAGUCGUAUAGUAGAUUCAUGAAUUUUUAUCUUUUUGUUUAAUAAAAUGAUUUAUUUGGAAGAAUAAAAUUUUUUUUGUAAUAUAAUUCACAACCAAAAAGAAAAAAAAUGUAUUUACAUGUCUAACUUAAUUAUGGACGAUAAAUCUAAUGUAAUUGUUUUUAAAUCAUAUCUAUAAGUUUGUUGUACUUCUUUUUUGAUAUUCUUGUACUUUUAGGAAUGAAUACAUGUCUUGAAGUAUGAUGCAACUAAUUUAAUUGUUCUUUUAUUCGUAAUAUUCAUCUAAUGAUAUAAGAGCUGUUUUAUUUGAGUGGAUAUUGAAGAAAAUAAGAGGUUGUUCUUAUGUUUGUGCCAAAGUAUUUAGGUGAUGACUUGGUAUUAAUAAUAUGGAGUAACCUCUAUUAUAUUUUUGGCUGAAAAGAAAAUACCCUAAUUUCUGUUAAGAAUGCAUUCGAUUGUAUAAAAUUAAGGGUUGUUACACGACAAAUCAACUAUAUCCAAGAAGAAGAUAAUCUGAUUAGAGAUACUGAGAAAUAAAAAAUUACAUAUUUGGAGAAUCAUCAACUCGACUCAACUCCUAGGUUUUUCACACUCAUCACUUCCCUUACAGCUGUUGCAAAUGACAACUUUAGUUGCUGCCCUCAGCAGCUCCUCUCUUUUUGUUCUUGAUGUUCUCUCUACUUUUCUCUCUUUUAGGUUUAUAUUGGAAGAUUUUGUUUUUGUUUUUUUGGCAUAAUAAUUGAAAAAAAAGGUUAACCUAAUGUAAGAAGGCAUAGCACCCAUGGCACUACUUGAACUAGCCCACUUUUAUGACCCUUUUUUCUUCUAAAAGGUAGAUGGCAUGUGAAUAUUUUAUUUUUAAUAUAAAUAAGAUUAUGCGUUGUCUUCUUACUUGGAUUCUGAUCAUUAAAAUGGUGGCUGAGAAAUUAAGAUGGAGUUUUUUUUUACAUAAACCUAAUAUAUUAAUUUAUCAACUUAAAACAUUUUUAAAUUAUUUAAAAGACACAAAAUAAAUCAAAAUUAAUUUUUUUUAAUAAAUCUUGAUCCAUCAAUAGCAGUGAUUACUGGUUUGAUGAUGGUUAGCUGUUAGGUUUUAUAAUAAAGGAUUACUGGUAAAAUACUCAAUCACGACAAGUGCACCAACAAAAAUUUUUGGGAUUAAGGGCCUGUUUAAGAUAGUGGUAAUUGUUGCGGUUUAAAAUAUUUAUCGCUUGGAAAUGUAUUAAAUUUUUUUAAAACAAAAAAAAAAUAUUUUUGAUAUCAGCACAUCAAAAUGAUAUGAAAACAUUUAAAAAAUAUUUUUUAAUAAAAAUUUAAAAUUUAAAAUAACAUAUUUUACACCGCGUUUCUAAACAUAAAUUGCAAAGGUCCAUAUAAUAAUCAUAAAUUGGAUUUUCGUUCCUCUCCAUGUGUGUUUUUUGGAUAUAGUUCCUCGCAUCUUGGUUAUCGAUGUCUUGACAUUGCAUCUCACCGUAUUUAUAUUUCCCGUCAUGUCCGCUUCCAUGAACAUAUGUUUCCAUUUAAUAAUUCUGAAUAGAUUACAAAGGUCUCCACCACAACCCCCACCCCACCCACUACUGUCACCCUCCUAAAUUUGCUAAACCACCCACCGCCACUCGCUUUCACCAGCCACCCAAACAGCCCACAACACUCCGCUCUGCCACUCCAAAUAGCCACCCAACCACAACCUCCACCCAUCCCUUGGCCAUCAUCCAAUGCUUGUUUAUCUAACCCUUAUGAUGCAGGUUCAGAUCGUCAAUUGGUCUCCUCUCCUCAUGGUCUUGGGGCACUUUCUAGUCCCUCCUCUGCUUUGCCCUCCCUGGCUAGCACUCCUGCAACUUCAGUCUCUGCUUCCAUCCCCUCUUCUGCUGACAGUCCUAUGCUUGAGGCUGCUUUUUUAUCAUCCUCUCCUGCUGGUCUGCAACUUAUGGUUGAUUUGUCUUCUUAUCAGCUGCCACAGGUCUCCUCGCUACAACCGUCUUUCCCUGCGUCUCCACCAGCACACAACAGACAUCCUAUGACUCUUAGACCGUGGCAGCUGAGGACAGCUAAUCUGGUUGCUUCCAUUGCCGCUACUUCUACCUCUAUACGGGUACUGUAUUCUCCCUCUUCUAAACCUUUUUCAUUCUCUGAUGCUAACCGGUAUGCAGUUUGGCAUAAUGCUAUGUGUGAUGAGAUCGCCGCUUUACGCGAAAAUCGCACUUGGUCUUUGGUUCCAUUUUAUCAUUCGAUGAACGUUGUUGGCAGUAGAUGGGUAUAUCGGAUCAAACAUCAUCUUGGUGGUAGUAUUGAGCGCUAUAAAGCGCACCUUGUUGCUAGAGGUUUUACCCAGCAGGAAAGUAUUGAUUAUUCUGAAACCUUCAGUCUAGUUAUUAAGCAGGCCACUAUCCGAUUGGUUUUCUCUAUCGCAGUUUCGCGAAAUUGGAAGAUUCAUCAGCUUGAUAUUCAUAAUGCCUUCCUCAAUUGUGUUCUUACUGAAGAGGUCUACAUGAAACAGCCUCCAGGUUUUGUUGACUCUUCUCUUCCAUCUCAUGUGUGGAGAUUGCACAAAUCAUUGUAUGGUUUGAAACAGGCACCGAGAGCAUGGUACACUCGUCUAAGUGAUUUUUUGCUCUCCAUCAGUUUUCGAGCUUCCAAGGUUGACACCUCCCUGUUUAUCUUAUCUGAUGGUACUAAUAUCUUUUAUCUCCUGGUGUAUGUUGAUGAUAUUUUACUCACGGGUAGCAACUCUACUAUGCUUCAUCACCUUAUACCGUUACUCAGCUCUAAGUUCAAGCUUCCUGACUUAGGUGUUGUUCACUACUUUUUGGGUAUUGAUGUUCAGUCUACCGGUAUGGGUUUAAUGCUGCGUCAACUUAAAUAUAUUCUUGACAUCCUCACCCGAGCUGGCAUGACUUCCUGCAAACCAGUUGAUACUCCAAUCUCCCCUUCGAAAGUCAUUUUAUUACCGGAUCAUUCAUUCUCUGAUCCUACAUGAUUUCGUCAAAUUAUGGGUGCUCUUCAAUAUCUUACCUUCACCCAUCCAGAUAUAUAUGCUUUGCUGUUAACAGAGUCUGUCAGUUUAUGCAUGCUCCUACAGAUUCUCAUUGGGCCGCUGUCAAACAUAUUUUACGCUAUCUUAAAGGUACGACAUCUUAUGAUUUCCAUAUCACUCGAGGCUUAUCUUUUGCUCUACAUGGCUUUACAGAUGCAAAUUGGGCUGGUAGUAUUGAUGAUCGCAAGUCUACGGGUGUCUAUCUUGUCUUUUUUGGUCAGACGCCGAUUUCUUGGAAAUCCGACAAGCAACGCACUGUUGCUCGCUCCUCUACUGAGGCUGAGUAUACAGCCCUUACUGAUGGUACCGCUGAAGUCAUUUGGCUUCAAUACUUGUUAACAGAUUUGCAGGUUCCCUUAGUAUCUGCUCCUACCAUUUGGUGUGAUAAUCUUGGUGCUACCUAUUUCUCAGCAAAUCCUAUCUUCCAUGCUCGUACUAAGCAUGUUAAAGUGGAUUAUCACUUUGUCCGUGACCGUGUUGCCAAGAAAGAAAUUCAGAAUCGUUUUGUUCCCUCUCGGGAUCAACUUGCCGAUGUCUUCACUAAACCGCUUCCUGUUGCAUCCUUUACUGCUUUUCGGUUCAAGCUUCAGGUUGAUCCCCCACCCUCAGCUUGAGGGGGCAUAUUAUAGAAUAAGAAAUUAAUAUAGGAUGUUGUAAUCAUUACAGUUACUCAUGUAUCUAUCAGAAUAGGAAAGUAAUAUAGGAUGUUGUAAAUAUUACAGUUACUGCAGCGUUCUGCUGCCUCUAUAUAAAUAGGAAGGUUGGCUAAGGCACAACCCAACACAUUCUAUUAUUCUCAACUUGUACUAAACUUUUUUCUGUCCAAGUCAAUGCCACUGCCCUUACAAAAUAAAAGAAAAGACAGUCAGCUUUUAGGUCAUUUUCAUUCCAGCAAUGUUCAGUUAAUUUUGCUAUAACAUAACUCAUGUGUGAAUGUGCCGGGGUUGUACAAGUGCGAGCUUGACAAAGCUAAGAUCUCUUUUUUGAGUAAGUUCCAAUCUUUUAAUUCUUUUUUCCUUCCUAAUUUAUAUGAGCCUGAAACAUUGGUUUAGAGGAUAAAUUGUGUUUGGUAGAGUAGAAAUUACUUUCCCUUGUCUGAGAGGAUGGAAAAGCAGCUAUCAUUACUAGAAAAUCCGCAAUAAUCAAUUAAAUUAUUGAUAAAAAGUUUUACUAGGAUAUGAUUAAGAAAAAAAACCGACCUAAAGUAGCAUCAACAGUUUAAUUUAUCAUUACCGUUCACUUGAGAGCUGUUCACCUCUCUGGUCUAGCCUUAGAGCAAAUAGUCACAAAAAAAAAAAAAAACAAAACAAAACAACUGUCGUCCAUGACUAUGACUAUGCCUUUUUUUAUCUCCCCAAAAUGGAUAGAAUGAGGGAAUGAUGAUAUGGUACUUUCUUAAUUAUUAAUUUACAUCUUUUCCCUUCUCUAACCCUUCGUUCUCUUGUAAAUCAAAGCAUACGAUAUAAUUUUGUUCUUUUUAAUUUCACUCUCAUUAUCUUUUUUAAUUAAUUAAAUAUAGACAAGGAUUGGAUACUUAAUGUACAAUUAUUUAUACUUACGCUCUUCCACUCAGGGGCGGAACUAGGAUUAUUUGUUAGGGGGGCCAAAAAAUAUAAUAUAUAUUUUUAAUUUAUUAUAUAUAAAAAGUAAAAAUAAAAUAAAAACUACUUGAUUUAGUUUUAUUUAAAGAACGUAUUACAAAAUAUAUAAUAAUCUUUGUACCUAUUGUCGCACCCCAAAAAAAAUCUUUUUCAAUUGCGGGUUCGACUGGCGAAACUUUUUUUUUUAUUAUUAUUUGGUUUGAUUUGGUUCUUUGGAGUCGCCACCUAGUAUUUUGGUCACUAGGAACCCUAACUGGUCUCAGAGAUCGGGUACGGAGACUGGUUGCGUAAAGGGAAGGUAUUAGCACCCCAAAUACGCCAUACCUAAGGUAAGCUGCAUUGUUUUAUUGUCUGAUAAAAACUAAAGUGUUAUUGUGUUUUCCUAGUUGUUGAUCUGUCUAUGGUUCAAGAAAAAUCCUCCUCGGUAAGAAGGUCUUUUAUCUUAUCGGGUAAAAUCCUAACCGUUCUAACGUCUAUACCAAACUUUAUUAAUAAUAUUUAGGAAUACGUUUUAUGUAUAAAUUCGUAAUCCCAAAUACUAAAAGAAAACAAAAAGAUUUUUUUAGAAUUUUUGAAAUAUUGGCCUAGUUCUCAUGGCUUGAAUAAACUGGUUAUUAAAGCCAAAAUGCAUGUUAAUACAUAUAUUGUUUUGAAAAUUUUCUUUGUUGUGUGAAAAUAUGAUGUUAUAAUAUUUAUAUAUAUAUAUAUUGGAGAGACUAGGCCAUAUUUUAAAACAAAAACAAUUUUUGGAAAAUAUUUUUUUUUUUUAUGCUUUGACGAAAAUCGGGUAUUUUAAUACUGAGCUUGUAUCCUUAUGGUAUAAAAAUACAACCCAAUAUUAAUCCACUUUGAUAAAAAUAUGCAGAAAAAUCAACAACAUUUUUAAGGACUUUUUAGAAUUUUUUUGAAAGCAAAAACAUUUUUUAUCUGAAAAUCUUUGAUAUUUUGACGAAAACCGGGUAUUUUAAUACCAGAUUUGUAUCUUUACAAUAUAAAAAUACAAACUGAUAUUGACGAAAAUACAGUAAUAAAAUUACAGAAAAAUCACAAAUUCUUUGAAAUAUCUUUUUUUUGAAAUUUUUUUUUUUAUAUAUAUAUUUUUUAGGGUGGGGCCCACGUGGCUGGGCUGCACCCAGCAGGCCUCAUGUGAACAGUGAAUUAUGUCUUAUGUGAACAGUGAAUAGCAUUUCACUAUUCGCGUGGAUUAUAUUUGAUAUGCACAGUAAAUUAGCAUUUCACUGUUCACUUGAACAGUGAAUUGCAAGGAAAUGGUGCAUGCACAGCGACGAAAGGGGGUGCAAACCUGGUGGCAGAAACGAUGCUGAAGUCGAUGGCGAACACUCCCAGUGAUGCUGGUGGCGGUGGACAGGAAGCCAAUGGGGGCUCACGGUGGCAGUGGUUGGGAAGCUCGAUGACAGCAGCUGCCUUCUCUUCUUCUUCCCCUUUACAGAGGCGUUGCUUCUUCUCUUGGUUUCCUUCUCUAUGGCAGCUUUGUGGAGGCGCUGGUAGUGGUGGCCGGGGAGUGACUGGGAUGGUGGUCGGUGACUGUGGAGUGUGGUGUUCAGGCCUUUCUCCCUUUUCUUCUCUGCGUUCCUCUUCAGCUGUCUCCUCUUCUGUGUGCUGGGUUGGGCGCUAUUUAUAGAGCCAGUGGGCGUGGCUUCACCGUGGAGCCAAGGAGCGGGUCGAGGAGCGGCUGUCGGGGAGCGGCUCAUGUGAACAGUGAAUAUGUCUGAUGUGAACAGUGAAUAGUAUUUUUCACUGUUCGCGUGAAUUAUAUUUGAUAUGCACAGUGGAUUAGCAUUUCACUGUUCACGUGACUUAUAUUUGAUGUGAACAGUGAAUUAGCAUUUCACUGUUCACGUGAAUUAUAUUUCACUUGAACAGUGAAAUGCAAGGAAAUGGUGUAUGCACAACGACUUCCAAUUUUAAGAAUAAAAUUCAAUUGCGUCCCUGCCAAAUUCGGUCCUUACCCCUAUAGUUGGCCGCGUUUUUCACUUUGGUCCUUGGCCUCUGAUUUUCACAAUUAAACCCCUAAUUGAUCAAUAAGCUUCCAAUUUCUUCAAUUAAGCCCCUGAAUCAAUUCCAAACAGCCCCCUCUAUCUUUGCGCCUUCUCCAAAUUGGUCCCUGGUUUCGGAUUUUCACAAUUAAGCCCCUAAUUGGCCAUUAAACUUCAAUAUUUAUGCAAUUAAGCCCCUGAUUUGACCCAAUAAAUUCCUAAAAAAUAUAUUUUGGCCCCAGAACUUAAAUUUCUUCAAAUUAAAGCCCAAAUUGAAUUAAAAAUCAAUUUUUCUUGCAAUCAAAUCUCCUAUAAAUUCAAAUAAAAAUCCAAUUAAAUCCAUAAACAUCCAAAUUUGGACUUUUCCUCAAAAUUCAAAUUUUCCUUCUCAAUAGGGCUUUCAUCCUUCAAGAAUAUACUGUCAAAAAAUCAAUCCUUGUAUUUUUAAAUUCCUUGACCAAUUUUCUGACUAUUUUCUAAGCGCUUCUGCCUCCUAUUAUUUUUCUAACCUUUUUUGGCUAUUUAUUUUAUUUUUUCAUGGGGACCCAAAAAUGGGUUACAACACCUAUUAAAUACAAACAUACAAAAUAUAUAAGAAGCAUUAACAAAAACGAAACAUUAUUUAUGUUUAAUAAACUUUGAAAUAAAAUAAUAAAUAAUAAUUCUUACAUAUUUAUUUUAAUUGUGCUCGUCGUUCUUUCAUCGAAUAGAAAUCAUCGAUUAUCAUAUCAAUUGGGAAUCUUUCAGCAAUUUCUUUUUCUAUAUAGACAAUCAAAUAAUUUGCAAGAAAAUCAUCCUCCAUCCGAUUGCGAAGUCUUGUUUUAACAAUCUUCAUCGCUGAGAAAGCUCGUUCAGUAGUUGCUGUCGAAACAGGAAGAGUCAAGAUAAGCCGAAUCAACCUGUCAAUGAGUGGAUAAAUUGUUGAUUUUUCUGUUUCAACCAAUCCUUGACAUAAAUCUGCAAUCGAUGACAUAUUCUUUAACUUUGGAUGAUUGGGUACAUCAAGCUCAUAAUGUUGCAACUGAAAUCUCAAAUGAAUUUUUUCUUGGUCAGAAAAAUCUUCAGGAUAGAACUUGUCAACAAGUAAGCAUAUAUCUUCAACAUUGAAUAAUUUAUAGCUAUUUCUAGGAUCUAAAGUUGUGCUCAAUUUAAGAAGCUCGAUCGCCUGCUCAUUGAAUCUGUUAUUUAGCUCUUGUAAUUGCUGAUCAAUGAUAGCUGUAAAUAUAUCAACUCGAUAGUGAUGCUCAACUGUUACUGAUUUUGUUUUACGACGAGAUCGUCCCACACUAGAAAAACAAGUAUCCAUAUCAGGAACUUCAAUGUCUUGAUGCUUACAAAAUGAUGUCACUUCUUCUAAAAGAGUUUCCCAACCAUCGUCUCUUAACUUCUGAAUUAAAGUCUUUGUGCUAGUCACCAAAUGCAUAGCAUUUAAAAUGUCUUGAGAUUUUUGUUGCAAUGCUUGACAAAGCACAUCAGUAAUUCCCAUAACAUUCUUCAUUAUAUGUAAGAAGAAUGCAAAAUCAAAUGACAUUAGCAACUUAAAUGAAAAGGCCGCAUCACCACGUUGAGAAUAAGUAGAUCCAUCUAAAGCAAUGUUUUCAAGAACCAAGCAAGUUGCCCCAUACAUUUUUAUCAAACUGCAAAUUGAUUUGAAAUGCGAACUCCAUCUGCUAUCUCCAGGUCGUUGCAAACCACCUACUUGAUUAACUCCUUUACCCGUUUCAAUCUCACCAAUAUCAACUAGAUGCUCAAUUGUAGCUGCUUGAAAAGCCCGUAACUCAUCAUUACGCUUGCAAGAAGCACUAACAAUGUUAAUAAUAAAGAUCAAAUUCUGAAAGAAAGUGUGAACAUCAGAUAUUUCUCUAGCUGCAGCAAUAAGAGCCAAUUGUAACUGAUGAGCUAAGCAAUGUACAUAAUAUGCAUAAGGGCAAUCAUUAAUGAAUAAAGCUUGCAAACCAUUCCACUCUCCACGCAUAUUACUGGCACCAUCAUAUCCUUGACCCCUAAUAUUUUGAACAUCAAGAUUAUGAUGAGAUAAAACAAAGGAAAUCUCUUCCUUAAGAGUUGCAGCAGUUGUAUCUUUGACAUGAACUAUAUCCAAAAAUCGUUCUCGUAUAAAUCCACUUCUAUCAACAAACCUAAUAACAAGGGCCAUUUGCUCUCUUCUAGAUUCAUCUCGAGCUUCAUCAACAAUUAAACAAAAUCUUGCAUCACCAAUCUCAUGACGAAUUGAAGACUGAACAUUUCUAGCAAAGACAUGCAAAAUUUCUUUUUUGAAUUUGAUGUGAGGUGUAUUUAGCAUUUUGUGGAGCAUUACCCAAAACAAGAGCACCUACUUGUUCAUUGUAUGAUGCUAAAAGUUCCAUCAUUUCAAGAAAAUUACCUCGGUUUUUUUAUUCUGGUCGUUCAUCAUGCCCUCUAAAAGCACAUGCUUGAAAUGUGAGCCAACGAACAAUAUCUAUUGAAGCUUUAAUACGCAAUCGAUUUUUCUGAACUUCUUGAGUAGUUUGCUUCUUAACUACCUUCUCAAUAUGACAUGACUGAUUUUUCAAAUUUCCAAGCACCUGGUAGCAAAUCUAUAAGCUGAAUUUGGACCUUUUCCCAUAUGAGUCAAAAAAGCAAAUCAUUCCCCAUCAUUAACUUUCUUCCAACAAUUAAAUCCUUUAACAGUAAAUGUGUCUGAUCCUGGCUUUCCAGAUGGUUUACUUGAAAAUAAAUAGCAAGGGAAACAAAAUGCAGUAUUUUUCUCUGAAUAUCCAAGCCACGGAUAACUUUUGAACCAAUGAGACUAAAAUCGACGAGGAUGUUUAUUACCAGUUAGCGGAUAUUCAGACAUCAAAGGUUGAUAUGACCCCAAAUUAAUGUAUGCCCUUCGAAUUUCAUCUUGUUGAUUAACCAAGUAUUCCCAAAUUUGAGGACGAUUGCUUGGAUCUCUAAUUAAAUGAGCAAUAUCGAUUCUAGUAAGAGGCUGCUCACUAAUCAGCGUAGGUUCUUUGUAAACUGAAGCACAUAAAGGCUGCUCAACCAUAACUUCAACAUUACUUGGAGCUGGUUCACUAAGCUGUGAGUUAUCAAUAAAACAAAUCCAUGCAUAAUCAAAACAAACCAAUAAAAUAUAUCUAAUUAAUUAGAAAAAAAAUCACUAUAACAAGAAUUCAAAAAAACAAUUAUUAGAACUAGCAAAUUCGAAGACACUUAUUAGAACUAGCAAUAUUUUUCCUCUUUUUUUUCAAAAAAAGAAUCAAUUCUUCUUAUUUUGUUCAUGGUUCAACCUAAAAUCAAAACAUAUAUAGUGAGAAAAAAUUGAUAAGUUUGGUGGCUCAGCUAAAAACAAAACAUAAAACAAAUCCAUGCAUAAUCAAAACAAACCAAUAAAAUAUAUCUAAUUAAUUAGAAAAAAAAUCAAUAUAACAAGAAUUUAAAAAAACAAUUAUUAGAACUAGCAAAUUCGAAGACACUUAUUGCUUUCCACGUAGGUAUGCUUUUUUUAUCACAAUCCAUUAAUCACAGCCCAUUUUUUUCAGACUUUCUUUAACAAACGCGAAAAAAAAAAGAAAAUGGUAUCUCAGCUGUACCAAAAGCUGAAUCAAUCUGUCCUUUCCACACAUUGGGAUAUUAUUAAAUUAAAUCUCAUUAAAUUAUGUGGUUUGGCUUUAGAUAGAUAAUAAAAUAUCACUAAAUUUGUUUUUCACAAUUGAUCUUAUCCCCAGUUUGUCUUCGAAAGAAAAAACAAGAAGCGAUACAAACAAAGACAUUGAACUUAUCCCCAGUUUGUCUUCUUCCUGUUAUCAUCUCCCUAGUUACGACUAUAUAUGUGUAGCUAGCAUCUUCUCUAUAUGAAGCAAGAGUUGGAUUUAGGUUUGCUUUCACUAAGAUAGAGCAUAGAGACCAACCUUAAUACAUUAGACAUAGCAUGGCUUGGAUACUAACCACUCUAGCCUUGAUUGCGCUCGCUUUCUUCCUCCGAGCUUGGCUGUCGAAAAGAAAGAUCAAGGAUAGCAAGUUACCCCCUGGUCCAAUAGGGUUUCCUAUAUUUGGUAGCUUACAUUUGUUAGGGCAGUUCCCUCACCAUGACUUGAAUCGACUAGCAAAGAAGUACGGCCCUAUCAUGUAUAUGCGGUUAGGCUUGGUGCCUACUGUAGUUGUCUCAUCGCCUCGGGCUGCCGAAUUGAUUCUUAAGACCAAUGACCUCGUCUUUGCUAGUAGGCCAUCGAAUGAGGCUGCGAAGUAUAUCACUUACGAGCAGAAGAACUUAUCAUUUGCUCCAUAUGGCUCUUAUUGGCGCAACGUGCGCAAGAUGUGUACCCUUGAGUUGCUUAGCAACCAUAAAAUAAAUUCUUUCAUGUCCACGAGGAAAGAAGAGCUUGACCUCUUGAUUGACUACAUUAAAGAUGCUUCUCGUGAGCGUGUUGCCGUUGAUCUUAGUGCCAAGGUCUCAUCUCUAAGCGCUGACAUCAGUUGUAGGAUGGUUUUUGGAAAGAAACACUUGGAAAAGGAAUUUGAUGAGAAGGGGUUCAAACCAGUGACUCAUGAGACCGGCCGUUUAGCAGCAAGUUUUAACUUCGGUGAUUACAUCCCUCCACUUGCGCCACUUGACCUUCAGGGUCUUACAAAGCGCAUGAAGGCCGUAGGCAAGGUUUUUGAUGACUUCUUUGAGAAGAUUAUUGAUGAGCACAUUCAAUUUAAGGAUGAAAACAGAACCAAAGAUUUUGUUGAUGUCAUGUUGGACUUCUUGGGAUCU